GACGUAGGGCGCGAGCGUUGUCCGGAUUUAUUGGGCGUAAAGAGCUCGUAGGCGGCUCGUUGCGUCGGCUGUGAAAACCCGCAGCUCAACUGUGGGCUUGCAGCUGAUACGGGCGGGCUGGAGUUCGGUAGGGGAGACUGGAAUUCCUGGUGUAGCGGUGAAAUGCGCAGAUAUCAGGAGGAACACCGGUGGCGAAGGCGGGUCUCUGGGCCGGUACUGACGCUGAGGCGCGAAAGCGUGGGGAGCGAACAGG
rnacentral:rRNA from 1 species